UUUGAAUCCACAACUAACUAGAUCGUCCAAUGCUUUGUAGGUACCACACCUUUGCUAUGACCAUGUCAGUCCUGAUGUCCUUAGAGGUACCACACCUUUGCCGUGUCAUACUAUGUUCAUGAGUAUGAUGAAACAGAAAGGAAAUGGUAGGAAGUUUGGUUUGCUGUGAUCGGUUCCAUGAGAUUUAGAAAGUGAUGCAGGGACGCCUUUGAUCAUGCUCAACAAGCUGCUAGAGUUUUCAAGAACAGAAGCAGCCUGCGGUCUACCCUAUUGGAAGCACCAUCCGUUCUUCAACCCAACUACGAGUGGAUGAGUGUCAUUGACUCGGGCCUGCUGGAACAUUGGAAUUGGCAGAGGGUGAAAAUGUUUGGUGACAACUGGUUCCUAGUGAUUCGGUUAAUCGAAGAUGAAGCAAACAAUGGAAAUUAAAAGACGCUUACGGUUAGUGGAUGAAAUUAUAUAGCUUGGUGAGAUGCGAUUAGAACUGUUUCGUCUCAUCAACAACACUCAAGAAGCCAUGGAUGCUGAAAGAAAGAGGAAAAUCGCAAUCUUGAUGUCAUUUAGAUAGUAACUAACAACUUUUUAUUCAUUUCAAUUGAUUCUGUUAGGUAUGUUGUUUUAUUUCCCCAAUGUUAUUUUGAAUCCAUCCAUCUGUUACUAUUGUUGUGUCAUGAUGAGUAGGAUCAAACUCCUUCAGGUAAAGUAACUAGAAAUAGAAUGGCAUUUAGUAUGUGUGGUUAACUAUGACUUCCUAACCGUAUCUUGUUCUUUUUCCUUUUUCACUUUACAAUUAAAAAAA